CUGAGCAGGCCAGCCACAGUGCCGUUUGCCCAGAGGACUGUAAUGUUGAUAUGGACAAGCCCGUCCUCAGGAAGUUUCAAGGCACCUUCCUCCGCAACCUGGUCGCCACCCAGUGGGAGAAGACGAACAGGAGCCAACACGAGAAGCUCCAGGAUAGGCUGUCCCAGGAUGACCCCAUAGUCACGUCCCCCAGGGCAGAGGAGGAGACCUCCUCACCUGCAGACAGCAGCCCCAG